rnacentral:tRNA from 1 species
GGAGGUGUAGCCCAGUGGUAGAGUGCCUGCCUAACAGGCACAAGGCCCUGAGUUCAAAUCCCAAUACUGCCA